AGUGAGCGGAGAUUAGAUGUUUCAUUGNGNAUCCUUAGCGGCGGACGGGUGANUAACACGUGGGUAACCUGCCUCAAAGUGGGGGAUAGCCUUUCNAAAGGAAGAUUAAUACCGCANAAGCCUCCNGUGCCGCAUGGCGCUGAAGGAAAAGGAGCAAUUCNCUUUGAGAUGGACCCGCGGCGCAUCUAGCUAGUUGGUGAGGUAACGGCUCACCAAGGCCACGAUGCGUAGCCUACCUGAGAGGGUGAUCGGCCACAUUGGAACUGAGACACGGUCCAGACUCCUACGGGAGGCAGCAGUGGGGAAUAUUGCACAAUGGGCGAAAGCCUGAUGCANCAACGCCGCGUGAGUGAUGAAGGCCUUCGGGUCGUAAAGCUCUUUGAUCANGGAUGAUAAUGACAGUACCUGAAAAACAAGCCACGGCUAACUACGUGCCANCAGCCGCGGUAAUACGUAGGUGGCGAGCGUUGUCCGGAAUUACUGGGCGUAAAGGAUGCGUAGGUGGAUAUUUAAGUGGGAUGUGAAAUCCCCGGGCUCAACCCGGGAACUGCAUUCCAAACUGGGUAUCUNNAGUGCAGGANAGGAAAGCGGAAUUCCUAGUGUAGCGGUGAAAUGCGUAGAUAUUAGGAGGAACACCAGUGGCGAAGGCGGCUUUCUGGACUGUAACUGACACUGAGGCAUGAAAGCGUGGGUAGCAAACAGGAUUAGAUACCCUGGUAGUCCACGCCGUAAACGAUGGGUACUAGGUGUAGGAGGUAUCGACCCCUUCUGUGCCGCCGUUAACACAAUAAGUACCCCGCCUGGGGAGUACGGUCGCAAGACUAAAACUCAAAGGAAUUGACGGGGGCCCGCACAAGCAGCGGAGCAUGUGGUUUAAUUCGAAGCAACGCGAAGAACCUUACCUAGACUUGACAUCUCCUGAAUUACCCUUAAUCGGGGAAGCCCUUCGGGGCAGGAAGACAGGUGGUGCAUGGUUGUNGUCAGCUCGUGUCGUGAGAUGUUGGGUUAAGUCCCGCAACGAGCGCAACCCUUAUUUUUAGUUGCUACCAUUUNGUUGAGCACUCUAAAGAGACUGCCCGGGUUAACCGGGAGGAAGGUGGGGAUGACGUCAAAUCAUCAUGCCCCUUAUGUNUAGGGCUACACACGUGCUACAAUGGUGAGAACAAAGAGACGCAAGACCGCGAGGUGGAGCCAAUCUCACAAAACUCAUCCCAGUUCGGAUUGCAGGCUGAAAUCUCGCCUGCAUGAAUGCCGGAGUUGCUNUGUAAUCGCGAAUCAGCAUGUCGCGGUGAAUACGUUCCCGGGCCUUGUACACACCGCCCGUCACACCAUGAGAGUUGGCAAUACCCGAAGUCCGUGG
rnacentral:rRNA from 1 species